UACGUAGGGUGCAAGCGUUGUCCGGAAUUAUUGGGCGUAAAGAGCUCGUAGGCGGUUUGUCGCGUCGAAUGUGAAAACCCGGGGCUCAACCCCGGGCCUGCAUUCGAUACGGGCAGACUAGAGUUCGGUAGGGGAGUCUGGAAUUCCUGGUGUAGCGGUGAAAUGCGCAGAUAUCAGGAGGAACACCGGUGGCGAAGGCGGGUCUCUGGGCAGUAACUGACGCUGAGGAGCGAAAGCGUGGGGAGCGAACAGG
rnacentral:rRNA from 1 species